rnacentral:rRNA from 1 species
AACGAACGCUGGCGGCGUGCCUAACACAUGCAAGUCGAGCGAGUUGAUUCUCUUCGGAGAUGAAGCUAGCGGCGGACGGGUGAGUAACACGUGGGCAACCUGCCUCAUAGAGGGGAAUAGCCUCCCGAAAGGGAGAUUAAUACCGCAUAAGAUUGUAGCUUCGCAUGAAGUAGCAAUUAAAGGAGCAAUCCGCUAUGAGAUGGGCCCGCGGCGCAUCAGCUAGUUGGUGAGGUAACGGCUCACCAAGGCGACGAUGCGUAGCCGACCUGAGAGGGUGUUCGGCCACAUUGGGACUGAGAAACGGCCCAGACUCCUACGGGAGGCAGGAGUGGGGAAUAUUGCACAAUGGGGGAAACCCUGAUGCAGCAACGCCGCGUGAGUGAUGACGGCCCUCGGGUUGUAAAGCUCUGUCUUCAGGGACGAUAAUGACGGUACCUGAGGAGGAAGCCACGGCUAACUACGUGCCAGCCGCCGCAGUAA